rnacentral:rRNA from 1 species
AUUGAACGCUGGCGGCAUGCUUUACACAUGCAAGUCGAACGGUAACAGGUUAAGCUGACGAGUGGCGAACGGGUGAGUAAUGCAUCGGAACGUGCCCGGUCGUGGGGGAUAACGCAGCGAAAGCUGCGCUAAUACCGCAUACGACCUGAGGAUGAAAGCGGGGGACCGUAAGGCCUCGUGCGAUCGGAGCGGCCGAUGUCAGAUUAGGUAGUUGGUGGGGUAAGGGCUCACCAAGCCAACGAUCUGUUGCUGGUCUGAGAGGACGACCAGCCAGACUGGGAGUGAGACCCGGGCCAGACUCGGUCGGAAGGCCGUAGUGGGGGAUUUUGGACAAUGGGCGAAAGACUGAUCCAGCAAUGCCGCGUGCAGGAAGCAGGCCUUCGGGUUGUAAACUGCUUGUGUACGGAGAGAAAAGGUCUCCUCUAAUUCAGGGGGCUCAUGACUGUACCGUAAGAAUAGGCACCGGCUAACUACCUGCCAGCAGCCGCGGUAA